UAACACAUUUCUAAAUUUAUGUCACAAAAAUAGCCCUCAAAAACUAAAAAAACCAAAAUAGCAUUUAUCUUUUAAAAAAUUUAAUUUUUUUUUAUUUUUCAAAAUUUGAAAUCUUAUCCCAAAAUCCCACUCCCCAACUCUAAACCCUAAAACCUAAACUCUAAACCCUAAAACCUAAACUCUAAACUCUAAAUCCUAAACCAUAAAUCCUAAAUUCUAAAUCCUAAACCCUAAAUCCUAAACCCCACCCCUUAACUCUAAACCCUAAACCCUAAACCCCACCUCUAAACUCUAAAUCCUAAACCCUAAAUCAUAAACCCCACCCCUUAACUCUAAACUCUAAUGUCUAAAUUAAUUUACCAUU
rnacentral:lncRNA from 1 species